CCUACGGGUGGCAGCAGUGAGGAAUAUUGGUCAAUGGACGCAAGUCUGAACCAGCCAUGCCGCGUGCAGGAAGACGGCCCUAUGAGUUGUAAACUGCUUUUGUACGAGGGUAAACUCCGAUUCGCGUAUCUCUCUGAAAGUAUCGUACGAAUAAGGAUCGGCUAACUCCGUGCAAGCAGCCGCGGUAAUACGGAGGGUGCAAGCGUUAUCCGGAUUUAUUGGGUGUAAAGGGUGCGUAGGCGGUCGGGUAAGUUAGAGGUGAAAUCCCGGGGUGCAACUUCGGAAUUGCCUUGGAUACUGUGGGGCUGGAGAGAAGGUGCGGUAGGCGGAAUGUAUGGUGUAGCGGUGAAAUGCGUAGAGAUCAUACAGAACACCGAUCGCGAAGGCAGCUUACCAGGCUGCAUCUGACGUUGAGGCACGAAAGCGUGGGGAGCAAACAGGAUUAGAUACCCCUGUAGUC
rnacentral:rRNA from 1 species